GAUGAACGCUGGCGGCGUGCCUAAUACAUGCAAGUCGAGCGAACAGACGAGGAGCUUGCUCCUCUGACGUUAGCGGCGGACGGGUGAGUAACACGUGGAUAACCUGCCUAUAAGACUGGGAUAACUUCGGGAAACCGGAGCUAAUACCGGAUAACAUGUUGAACCGCAUGGUUCAACAGUGAAAGACGGUCUUGCUGUCACUUAUAGAUGGAUCCGCGCCGCAUUAGCUAGUUGGUAAGGUAACGGCUUACCAAGGCAACGAUGCGUAGCCGACCUGAGAGGGUGAUCGGCCACACUGGAACUGAGACACGGUCCAGACUCCUACGGGAGGCAGCAGUAGGGAAUCUUCCGCAAUGGGCGAAAGCCUGACGGAGCAACGCCGCGUGAGUGAUGAAGGUCUUCGGAUCGUAAAACUCUGUUAUUAGGGAAGAACAAAUGUGUAAGUAACUAUGCACGUCUUGACGGUACCUAAUCAGAAAGCCACGGCUAACUACGUG
rnacentral:rRNA from 1 species